rnacentral:rRNA from 1 species
GACGAACGCUGGCGGCGUGCUUAACACAUGCAAGUCGAACGGAAAGGCCCUGCUUGCAGGGUGCUCGAGUGGCGAACGGGUGAGUAACACGUGGGUGAUCUGCCCUGCACUUCGGGAUAAGCCUGGGAAACUGGGUCUAAUACCGGAUAGGAGCCAUCUUUAGUGUGAUGGUUGGAAAGUUUUUUCUGUGUAGGGUGAGCUCGCGGUCUAUCUGUGUGUUGGGGGGGUAAUGGCCUACCACGGCGGCGGCGGGUAGCCGGCCUGAGAGGGUGGACGGCGACAGUGGGACUGAGACACGGCCCAGACCCCUGCGGGGGAGAGGAGGGGGGAAUAGUGCAAAAUGGGCGAAAGCCUGAUGCAGAGACGCCGCGGGGGGGAUGACGGUCUGCGGGUUGUAAACGCUUUUCGCUAGGGAAGAAGCUUUUGGUGACGGUACCUAGAGAAGAAGCACCGGCUAACUACGUG